GCGUCGGUGGUAUAGUGGUUAGCAUACUGCCUUCCAAGCAGUUGACUCAAGUUCAAUUCCCGGCCGACGCA
rnacentral:tRNA from 2 species